rnacentral:rRNA from 1 species
UACGUAGGGACCAAGCGUUGUUCGGAUUUACUGGGCGUAAAGGGCGCGUAGGCGGCAUGACAAGUCACUUGUGAAAUCUCCGGGCUUAACUCGGAACGGUCAAGUGAUACUGUCGCGCUAGAGUGCGGAAGGGGCAAUCAGAAUUCUUGGUGUAGCGGUGAAAUGCGUAGAUAUCAAGAGGAAUACCUGAGGUGAAGACGGGUUGCUAGGCCGACACUGA